GACGAACGCUGGCGGCGCGCUUAACACAUGCAAGUCGAACGGAAAGGCCGGCUUUCCUUUGUGGAAUGCGGGUACUCGAGUGGCGAACGGGGGAGUAACACGGGAGUGAUUUGUCCCCAACGUGGGUAUAAGGCAGGGAAACUGGGUCUAAUUCCCGAUAGGACUGCAGGGUGGUGCGUGUGGUGGAAAACGAGUUUCUAGAGGUUGGGGAUGAGCGCGCGGCCUAUCUGCUUGUUGUUGGGGUAAUGGCCUACCAAGGCGGGGACGGGUAGCCGGCCUGAGAGGGUGGACGGCCACAUUGGGACUGGGUUACGGCCCAGACUCGUACGGGCGGCGGCAGUUGGGAAUAUUGCACCGUGGGCGUGAGCCUGCUGCAGCGACGCCGCGUAGGAGAUGUCGGCCUUCGAGUUGUAAACUCCUGUCGACCGCGAGGAAGCCACCUGGUUGGCAGGGUGGUGACGGUAGUGGUAGAAGAAGCACCGGCUAACUACGUG
rnacentral:rRNA from 1 species